CUUAACCAACUGAGCCAUUCAGGUGCCCUCAGCUAGAGCAUUUCUGAUUUCACUUCAGGCUCUCACAUUCUGAUUCUCCUCUUAGGAAGAACGUGGAGUGUCUCAGGACCAACAGGAGGAAGAGCCGAUUUCUGAAGGCAGAAUAGAAAUAGAAAUCCCCAAUGUCAACUCUGAUUUGGGAAAUGAAUUGUACUUUGUUAAACUACCCAGAUUUCUCAGCAUAGAAUCCAAACCUUUUGAUCCUCAGUAUUAUGAAGACGAAUUUGAAGGUGUGAAAGUGCUUGAUGAGGAAGAUAGAACCAUGUUAAAAUUGAAGGUGGAAAAUACUAUAAGAUGGAGGAAACGCCGGGAUGAGGAAGGAAAUGAAAUUAAAGAAAGCAAUACUCGGAUAGUCAAGUGG